rnacentral:rRNA from 1 species
UACGUAGGUGACAAGCGUUGUCCGGAUUUACUGGGCGUAAAGAGCGCGCAGGCGGUCGAUCAAGUCGAGUGUGAAAGCCCCCGGCUCAACUGGGGAGGGUCAUUCGAUACUGAUCGACUCGAAGGCAGGAGAGGGUAGUGGAAUUCCCGGUGUAGUGGUGAAAUGCGUAGAUAUCGGGAGGAACACCAGUGGCGAAGGCGACUACCUGGCCUGUUCUUGACGCUGAGGCGCGAAAGCUAGGGGGGCAAACGGG